UGGGACUGGAUGGGCUUUGAGGUCCCUUCCAACCCAAGCCAUUCUGUGAUUCUAUGAAAUACAGCUACUGAAAACAAGAGCCUGGCUGAAAGGCUUAAGUAGGAACUGCAUUUCUCAGUCUAGUAGCUGCAAAGCUAAUAAAAACAAUAUAUACUUGAUUGUUUAAGUCAAGUCGCUUCACAGGUCUGCAGAAGAAAAGUUUAAUGACUUAAUGAUACCUAAAUAGUUCAUAAAAUGACCCAAAGUGCACUUUAACAUAUAUUAAAUGCACAUUCUUUACUAAUUUAUUAAAAUAUCCUAUAUUUUUCAUUAUAGUCGCAGCUUACGGUGAAAAUAAAGCCAUAAAACUGCUUUAAUCAAAGAUUGGUUAUAAUGUGAAAAAAGAGACAGAUAUUGUGGGUUAAGAGCCCUUACAAUUUUAAAUAACAUUAAAUACGGGUCAGCAAUUAGAAACCAAAUCUGGAAUCUCCCACAGUACUGCUGUUAUGUUCCCAGUUAGGCUUUAUUUCAUCCUUUCCAAGAGGAGCAAAUGAGGUACAUAGCUGUAAAGCCAGGGAGAUGCUUUGUGUUAAUGCAAUUGGCAUAAAUGGUACCUGCAUCUAAGCAAAUGCUUUUAGUAUCACCUAUACAAAUCUUACGGGCAAGAGAAAAAUGGCAUCCAGUGAUGGACUAUCAGAAAUAGAAGGCUGUCCAAAUUCCUGCUAAGCAGUGCACGUUAAGGUCUGUGGUGCACACCUGCUCUAUAGGAUUCGGGUGUGAUUGAGUAUGCCACACUUGGGCUCAAAGGCAGGAAUUUUCCUAUGGAGUUCAGUAUAAGUAAGUGCUAAAAAAACCUCAAUGUAAAGAACUUACUUGGUGGAACACAGUCCUGGGCCAGACAUUUCCAUUUUCAAUUCAGUCAACUACUGUAUCUUUGGAAUGCUAGAGCAUUUUUUGAAGGCCUAAUAUUAGGGGCAGUACUAGUUUUCACUAAUGUUCAGCUAGUGAGUGCAGAGUGCUAUUGCUAAAUAGGUUGGUUUCACAUGACAACCUGAUGGCUAUUGACUUCAGUGGAGGAGGACAGCGAUGAAAUAGUUUAAUCCACACUCUUCCUCUGCCCAUGCUCUUCCAUUCGCUGUGUGUGCUGCUCUGUCACAAUCCCUACAAAAGGAAUGCCUUCUGAUGACACCAGAUCCUACUUAUCCUAAAUCAGGGCUGGUCAAUGUCCACCCAGUGGCUCUUGCUCUCUGUCAAAGCAGAAUCUAACAUGCAGCCUACCAAGAGGCACAGCCUGGCCGAAGCAUUUCCAGCCUGCAGUGCUUGUUGUGCCAUCAGUGGCAGCAGAACCCACAGAUAAAGUGCUGGAGGAGUAGGAGAGGUAAAAUGAGAGCCAGUAGAGACUGAAGGUUUUCCUUGCAAAAAUCUUCUUGGUCAUUUUCCCAUUGCUUUCAGAUACUGCAGGAGUUGAGAAUCCACAGUUCGGAAACCCUUGGAACUGGAAGAACAAAAAGGAAGCUAUGGGAUGAGGCAGGAGAUUGGACAGUUAGCUCACUACCCAGCCUGUCUGCUGCCACACUGCCGGCACAGUGUUGUCCAGUGGCAAACAUUUCAGAGAUGGCCAAAGACAAUCAUAGAACCAUAGAAUCAUAGAAUGGCUUGGGUUGGAAGGGACUUCAAAGAUCAUCAAGGAUCAUCAAGCUCCAACCCCCCUGCCACAGGCAGGGCUGCCAAUCUCCACAUUUAAUACUAGACCAGUCUGCCCAGGGCCCCAUCCAACCUGGCCUUGAACACCUCCAGGAACGGGGCAUCCACAACCUCUCUAGCAGCCCCAGUAUUUUGUUUUUAAAUAUAUUUUAAAAUAAAUAUUAUUUUUUUAUUUUUCUAAGCCAUGUAAUAAGUGAAGAUGUUAAGUGGACUUUUAAUUACAGAAGCACAGCACAGUUGAGGCUGGCAGGGCCCUCUGGGUCCCUCUGCUCCAUCCCCUGCCCCAGCAGGGACACCCAGAGCAGGGUGCCCAGGGCCACGUCCAGGAAGCUCUGGGAGAUCUCCAAGGAGGAGACCCCACAGCCUCUGGGCAGCCUGUGCCAGUGCUCCGUCACUGCACAGCACAGAAGGGCUCCUGGUGUUCAGAGGGAACCUCCUUUGCUCCAGUUUGUGUCCAUGGCCUCCUGGCACAACUGACGGGGCACCACUGACAGAGCCUGGCUCCAGCGUCUGGCACCCUCCCUCAGGUAUUUAUGGACACUGAUGAGAUCCCCGAGCCUCCUUCACUCCUCCAGCUGAGCAGCCCCAGCACUCUCAGCCUCUCCUCACAGGAGAGGUCCACACCCUUCAUCAUCCUUAUGCCCCUUGCUGGACUCUCUCCAGUACAUCCAUGUCUCUCUUGUACUGGUGGCCAAGCUCUAGAUGCAGCUGUGGAAGAAGUUGCUUAUUCCUCCAGCUGUGACACCCUCAGCAGGCAUAAAGUUAACUUUUCUUUUUCCUACGGCAUUUUUUUUUUGGAUCAUGCACAAUCCUUUUUGUGUGCCCGGCCAUCCAUCUUCUUAUCAGCAGCCAACCCGUGCAGAUGGAAUGCAUCUCUCUUUCCCACAGUACAGGACAUAUUCAUGCCACCCUCUCCCGUGAAGAGCUGUUAUCACUUUCAGUGUGCCAGGAGUCAACGUACUGACGUCCAAAAGGCAGAAGGUCAACUGGGCUUUAUUGUAGUAGCAGCAGACAGGAGUGAGAGCAGAUGAGGACACCAAUGCCACCAUCUGGGGCUAUUCUGACAGACUUUUACUCCUAUGAUGCCCUCUCCUGUUUCGAAAUCUCAAACCCUGGUGUUAGUCUCCUGCACCAGAAGGACCAUUGGUACUAUCCUUGCACUGCCCGCGUCCUUUUCAUAGAAUCACAGAACCACAGAAUGGUUUGGGUUGGAAGGGACUUUCAAAGAUCAUCCAGUUCCAACCCUGCUGCCCUGGGCAGGGCUGCCACCCACCAGAUCAGGGUAGAUGUUCAUGUUUACCUUCCUUCAGCCACCUGAAGCCUGCGUGGCUGUUUGUGUGACCUACGUCUUCCUGCAUGAACACUACAGAUUCUGCUCAGUUUAAAACCAGGCAGGUAGGUUCCCUGAAGGGCACUGCUUCUUCCCCUGCAGAAACACCAGCUAAGAGAGAAAUGAAAACCAAGUUUUCUAGAAUCAAGAGCAUGGGAAGGCCAGAAUUGCCUGUAUGCCCUUUGGCACAGCAGGACAUAGCACUAAAAGCUUGCGGCUGCAGUUCAGCAGCCCUGGGGAAGAGAGGCUUUUUGUCUGAGUCCAUGUGGGUGAAGUGUGUGGCUUACAUCUGUACCAAAAGACAUGGCACUGUGCCCUCCCCCAGUAAUACAGUAAAUAAAACCAGCUCAGGUUUGUUGUUUGACAGUUAAAAUGGAAAGAAAAGGACCAGGCAGUAGGGAUCCUUUUUUUGUUUUUUGCUGAUCUGGAAGACAAAAUAAAUAGAUAUGGUUACGGUAGCCAUACAAGACAGGAAGAUAGGCAUAAGUAGACAAUACACAAUGCUGCUUGUUUCACGGAACCGGGCUGAACCAGCCUGUAAACCAUUGACAGGUAGGUAAAAGAUUCAUUGUUGGAGUUAACACGCCUAUUUUCCCUUCAUAUCACUACAUUACAGUUCUAAAGGUAAAAGCAAAGGGAGAUGCUUCUCUUUCUUCCCCAGCUUCCCCUUCAGCUUGUAUCAUUUUCUAAGCCACGACCAGUCUGACCUGAGGCUGCAAGGCAACAGGGCACCAAGUUAAACCCAUAUAACCCUCCAGGUAGUUUAUUCAAAAAGAACUGCAGGGGAAAGUUUGCAAAAUGGGUUCAUGUACCUAACAUCCACCCAUAAGCAACACUGAAACCACAGCUCCUCUGGAAGAGAAGAUGGGGACAAGAGUUUAAUAUGGGAGUUUGAAACAUACUUUGCUCCAAAAUUUGGUCAUCUUUGGAGUCAGUUCCUCACUUCUGUUUGAAUAAGACGUGUCCCGAAGGGCUGGGCAUUCACCGAGCAGAUCCUCAGCUUGUGGACUUCUGAGCUCCACUGAUGUUAAGCACAACUCAUGCUGUGGGCCCAGGCCUGUUGCAGCCAUUAUGGCUCACCAGGAACAGAGCUGAGUGCUGAUUUAAGAUUACUUGAACGCUCCCAAGUUUCUGCCACAAUGUGAAUUACUCUCUGUGGCAGCAGAGCAAGUUCUGGCCAAAAAGCUCAGAGCCCAGGGUAAAGUGUGGAACAGCACAGGCCAGCAAAGUUUCACACACCUUCUCCAGCUGGAUUGAAAUCCUGGCAGUAGACUCGCUCAUCUUGCACACCUUCCAAGAGUGUUCCAAGUUCCUUCUGACUUCCAGGAAAGACAGCAGGAGGGCUCACAGAUUAGUAGCACUUAAGCAGGAAAGUGAGUCUUUUUAGUGAGAUGUGAAUUAUGUUUGAAAACGUGCUUUAAAAAAUUGCUGCAUAGAGGGGAACCAACAACAAGCUGUACAGCCAGGAAAGCUGGGGUGGCAUCAUUUCAGACAACACAGCUGCAGAGUGCUUGAACACCAUUUAUAGGAUGCAUAAAAAAAACAAUUUUCCCCAAAGAAUUUACCUUCAUGGAGGCAGCUCUCCAGACUUAAUUAAUGCCAUGAAUGGUGUUUACCUUUUUGGUUCUCUUUUCUUUUUUUUUUUUUUUUGCAUUCUCUCUCAAGUGAAAGCGCACAGCUCUUCUCUGUGCAGCAGUGUGCUUUGUAGUGGUCAACACCACAACUUCCCACUGAGAGGGGAGAAGCAAAGCACAAAAUGGGAGCAACACUGAGCGCUGCCGAAUGCUGUAUUUCAUCACACAAACCAACAGCAGCCCUGCGUCAAUAGGAGAUAUAGGAACACUCAGCCUGCAGAUCGAGAGCAUUGCCAAUAGUGUAUUAAACAGCAAAAUGGAUUUAGAGGAACCCGGAGAUAACUCUUUAUUUAAGACAGAUGUAGCAAAAAAAGUUUUGCUUUUGAUUAUCCAUCUCGACACUUUCCUUUUAGGAGGGUAAGUUUGGUCAAGCCAGGCUUUUUAAAUACUUCUUUAUUCUUAAAAGAAACUGUCAAAUAUGACAACAGGACAAUAAGUGUCAUUCAGCAAUAUCAGUUUCUGAUCUAGAGAGGAAAUUAAUAAAAACAACAUCGGCAUUUUAAAAAAUAAAUAUGACUAAACGUAUGGAAAACAGGAAAAUCAAAUUCAUGUUCAACAACACAGACAGGUACAAAUGCUGAAAUGCUGCUGCACACGGUAGAGGUAGAGGUAAAACAGACUUCUCAACCCCAGACCAGUUUUAGAUCCACUCCCCCACCCCCCUGCACACACCCUUGACAGUGGUUGUUGCCAAUAAUUUUGUUUGAAUCCUCCUGUCAGCCUCAUCAGACUCCAAGCAGGUCCGUGUGCUCCUUCUAAUGUUCAGAGCUGGAAAACUAUUUCAGCUUUUGUAGAAGUAAGUUGCUAAGCAACCUGGCCCCCGGGUUUUGCAACUGGUGCAGCAAGGCAAGUGGCAGGAAGCCGUGCUUUAGCUACAACAAGACAACAAAACGCUCUCCGGAUGACGUCUGCUAGGACAAGAGGAUGGUAGAGCCCUUGGUAGGAAUUGCAAGUCCAUCAGAUGCUUGGUGACGUGAUCAGAGAAGGCGCAGUGCCGUGCCUGGAGCUCUUCUGCUGAAGUGAGCAUCGUCAGCAGGAACAUCCCAAACACACAGGUGGGGAGAGCCGAUUGCCUUACACUGAAAGCUGACACGGUAAGACACAAACCAAGAACCCUCGGUACAAAGCAGCAAGAAUCCUGACAUCAUGACGUAUAAAAACUAAAAAUUGCACCGCACACGGAUUCUCCAAACAAACUCAAGACAACUGAAGUCAGAUCGUACAAACCAUUAGUUAAAAAAAUACCUUCUUGUGUAUUUUGAGAAUAAGUGGAAAGAGUCUUCGUGCAAAUGUUCAGCCUUGAUCAAGCAGAGGACAUAAAUCGUUGUAAACACAUGAGUUCCGUUCUCAUCUGCCAUAUGCGCCCAGCAUCACCUAUCUUCUGCAGAAUGAUUAGGGUUAGGAAAUCUGCUUCUUCUGUAAAUGUCACCCUUCAAGUUCCACUGAUGUAUCAAGACACUACCGGCGUCAUAUCCCACAGCUGUUAAUACAACAAUAUAUCAUAAUGUGGUGAGUAGCGGUGAAAUACAACAACAUAUAAUAUAUAAAA